rnacentral:rRNA from 1 species
GACGAACGCUGGCGGCGUGCCUAAUACAUGCAAGUCGAACGCAGUGGGGACGGGUGAGUAACACGUGGGUAACCUCCUAUCAGAGGGGAUAACACUUGGAAACAGGUGCUAAACCGAUACUGGAGGAUGGACCCGCGGUGCAUUAGCUAUGUGGUGGGGUAAAGGCUCACCAAGGCCACGAUGCAUAGCCGACCUGAGAGGUUGAUCGGCCACACUGGAACUGAGACACGGCCCAGACUCCUACGGGAGGCAGCAGUAGGGAAUCUUGCGCAAUGGGCGAAAGGCUGACCGAGCAACGCCGCGUGUAUGAAGAAGGUUUUCGGAUCGUAAAACUCUGUUGUUGGAGAGGCGGUAUCUAACCAGAAAGCAACGGCUAACUACGUGCCAGCAGCCGCGGUAAUUC